GAAGGGGUUGGAAAAUGUGUUUCAGAGACCUUAGAGGAAAGUGACCGGGAGGAUAUCCACAAUAACGUUCAUUUCCACCGCUUACUACUAAUUGGGAAAAUUAUUAUAUUACAACAGAAGAGCUAAAUUUGGACCUCAAACUUGAAAUGUUCUGUAGUGUGAGAAGGUGGAAUUUGGUGAUGAAAGGAUUCAGUUCUUUUCAGAAUUACAGCAUGGACUUCUUGGAGUGUAAGUGCCUGAGCUAGUUACGCUGUGGUGCAGAGGAGGGAGGGAGCUUGGAUGUGGAGGUGGAAGGGCAGGAUUCAAGUCUCAGUGUUUCCACUUACUUAUGGUUUAAGUUAGUCAUACUCAAGUGUCUCAUCUGUGAAACGGGAACAAUAAAGUUGACAGGAAUGCCAUGUUAUGGGAAGGACUUUGUGAACAACGAGGCACAACACAAAUGUUGUUAGCAUUGAUCUGGCUGGUGGAUCCUAUCUCAAGGUUCAGAGGAAGGAACUGACCCACAGCUGCCUUUGGCUGUACCAUGAAGACUGGAGUUUCAGCUCCAGUCUGACUGCAUUUGUAAAGAAUUUGCCUUUAAAGACCAGAAAAACAACAACAUGGAAAUGAAGCCCAAGGCUUUCACCACAGACAGGAUGGUUGAUUGUUUUGCUCCAGUUUGUUCCAACAGUUUGCACUGCCAGGACUCAAGCCUCCAGACAGCCCAUGGUACACGUUAACCACAGUUGUGGGGGAGAGGUGGAAGAAGGAAUGCCAUUUUCUGUUAACCCCAGGAUCUGUUAACGCCUGGUCUGCAUUUAUAUCUGCUUAGCAGUUGUUUCACUUUUAGAAUUCAUGCCACAAGCUGAUUCCAUGUAAUUAUUUGUUACCCAUCUUGGGAUUCUUAAAUGUAUCUUUCCGCCCCACAACAAAAAGAACUAGUUGUUGGUGUUACUUAAAAUAAAAGCAAAGAAUAUUCAUCAAUUUUUA